CAUAAUUAUUUAAAUAGAGUUAGUUCCUCUGCAUGCAAUUACAGUGUCUUCUGAUCUUAAUAUUAAUACACCUGUUCCUGUAAACCUCAGAGUUUGUUAAAGAACAUCGCUAAAAAAACAGGAUCCUAAAAACUAAGAACUAUAAAAACAAUUCAGAGACAAAAGUCCUGGGAUAAUAUCCACCAUGUGUUGGUUACAAAAAUAUCCUCAAAGAUGAUUUAGUCAGACUUAAUUACUGUUACUGAAAGAAGUGGACAGAUGAUGGUGAUAUUUCUCUCUUCUCAGAUUUUUGUGGGCUGUGUUCUCUUUCAGGCAGAACACAUCAUCAAAGACAGAGCUCACAGAUUUACAUGAAGCGCAGCGUACAAUGAAAAAACUGACAGUCAUCUUCAUCCACGCUGUUUUGUUUGCAAGGUCUGGCAUGUCCAUGAUUUAAAGAGAUAUACUGUAUGAGACCUUCUCACUCAGAAAUAAAUGGUUCUAUAUUUCCAAAUACAUACAGUACAUUUCAUUUCAAUUCCCUGUUUUUUUCUUUUAUUGAGUUUCUUUUUUAAGUUAUUUUAUAUUUCUGGGAGUUCUGGUGGAUAUUUUAUUAAAUGGCAUUAUCUGCAUCUGCUCUCUGUGCAAUGUCUCUAUAAAAUGAAUUUCGUGUCCCAUCUUAUAAAGGUUGCAUCGUCUUUCUAGAAUUUUGAGUUUUGAUUCACAGUGAUGAAACAGCUGUCUGCGAGUCUGUGUACAGGAACACAAUUUGCCUGUCUAUUGAACAAUGCAGGUGUUUGAGUAUGGACUGGCAACCUUGAUCUUGAGUGAAUUUCACCCAGUAACAAUGGGAUUAACUCUGACCAGGAUGAAGCAGCUACUGUAGAUUAACCUUUAAAAUACAAUAUUCUAUACAUCUCAUAGAUCCACAGAAUAUUUUAUUUUGAAUAUUCACUCGUAUAUAUUUCUCCACAAUUCCCAUUUCUUAUCACCAAGCAUAAUGGGAGAACUCAAUCGCAGAACUCAGCCAUCAAUUAUAUAUACUUAUUGAACAGGUUGAUUUAAUAUGAAUGAACAUCAUAAUCGUUGCAUUUUAACACCAUGAUCACUGAAUGUUUCACUUCAGACCCAGUGUGAUGGAGUGCACAUCAAACUGGAUAGGUUCUCACUGUUGUUAUUUGAAGACUGAUACACUGUGUUAGAAGCAAAGAAACAAUUGUCUUCUUAUGAUCCUUGAAACUCCUAGACCGUCUGAGAAUCGAUGUCUGACAGCCUCUAAAGCUCUAAGAAAAGCUGAUGAAGUUCAGUUCAAAUCUUCCAUGACUGAAAAAAAUCUGGUGUGUAUUAAGGGAAGAAUAUUGCUCUUGGACACCGUGUGUGCUGCAUUCACUGCUGCAUGAAACCUGAGUGCUUUGUGGACUUAAUGGAUUUGAAAAUGAGACCUGACUUCUGAUAUCGGGCUGUUUGUUUGUACAAAAUAUUUUUACAAUAAUAUAUGCACAAGAUUCAAGGAAUAUAAAUGUAUGACUAUAUGUCAUAAGUGUGUUGUAUUAUCUACUGAUAAAACUAAGAAGGAAUCUGAACAAGCAUUAAAACAAGCAUUUCUGUCACUAAAACAAAUUCCUCGCAUGUGAAAACAUGCCUGGCAAUAAAGCUCUUUCUGAUUCUGA